ACAGCAGUAGCCGCGGUAACACGGAGGGUGCAAGCGUUAAUCGGAAUUACUGGGCGUAAAGCGCACGCAGGCGGUCUGACAAGUCAGAUGUGAAAUCCCCGGGCUUAACCUGGGAACUGCAUUUGAAACUGUCAGGCUGGAGUCUUGUAGAGGGGGGUGGAAUUCCAGGUGUAGCGGUGAAAUGCGUAGAGAUCUGGAGGAAUACCGGUGGCGAAGGCGGCCCCCUGGACAAAGACUGACGCUCAGGUGCGAAAGCGUGGGGAGCAAACAGGAUUAGAUACCCGCGUAGUCCCUGUCUCUUUACU
rnacentral:rRNA from 1 species